rnacentral:snRNA from 1 species
GGAUGUGAGGCUCAUCUGGCUGCAGCUUGGUACCCUUUUGAUUUCCAGAGUUAAUUUGACUGAUCUCCUAAAUCUCUCACAGCUUCAUGUAUAACCACCUGAAACUUGGAGCUCAGCUCAAGAGGACAACAUUCCCCAAAUAGAGGAGAAUGAGUCUUCUGUCAAAGGUAUAAGAGUAACUACAUUCCCCUACUAGAGCCUCCAAACAAGUUCUCAUUCAUGUGAGAUGAAUUUUGAAAACUUAGUUAAUUGGUACAUAAUAAUUGUACAUAUGUAUGAGU